CAGUCGCCACGGUAAUACGGAGGGUGCAAGCGUUAAUCGGAAUUACUGGGCGUAAAGCGUGCGUAGGCGGUUUGGCAAGUCUUGUGUGAAAUCUUCGGGCUCAACCCGAAGCCUGCACGAGAAACUGCCGGGCUUGAGUAUUGGAGAGGUGAGUGGAGUUUCCGGUGUAGCGGUGAAAUGCGUAGAUAUCGGAAGGAACACCUGUGGCGAAAGCGGCUCACUGGACAAUAACUGACGCUGAUGCACGAAAGCUAGGGGAGCAAACAGGAUUAGAUACCCCUGUAGUCCCUGUCUCUUAUAC
rnacentral:rRNA from 1 species